GAAAGCCAUAGUGCAUCACAGAUUAAAAUGUUUCCUCAACCAAGUCAUGCAGUAAAUUCAUCAGGCAGCUUACAACCUGCUUCACCUAUGGAACAUGGGACUCCAUUAAGUUCUGCAUCUUUGCCUUAUCAGCUGCCCACCAGUGAGGUCAGGCCUUUAAUCAACGGUGGGGUGGUCUCUGGUAAUCUUGUAAGGGAUUCUUCUUCAGUUGCAUCUCCCAGAGUUGGAAGACAUCAUUUCCAAAUGGAUGGACGGCAAAGUGGAUCUUCCCAUGCAUUGCAAGUUCAAGCAACUACUGGCAAUCACUCAACUGUCAGAACUCCAACUUGGUCGGUGCUACCUGCAUCAGUUUCAGCAGCUCGACUUGGGGCGGAUCACAAGGCGACACCACAUGCAACUAUUAAAAUUGAGGGAGGUGCUGAUGUCAGGUCAACAAUGGCACCACAAGUGACAACAUCUAGGUCAUUUAUUACUGAGAGCACAUCUGGAAAUUCAC
rnacentral:misc_RNA from 1 species